rnacentral:rRNA from 1 species
CCCUCUAAGGGGACUGCCCCGGACAACGGGGAGGAAGGUGGGGAUGACGUCAAGUCCGCAUGCUCCUUACGUCUAGGGCUACACACGUCCUACAAUGGGGUCGACAGUGGGAUGCAAAGCCGCGAGGUGGAGCCAAUCCCCAAACGGACCUCUCAGUUCGGAUAGUAGUCUGCAACUCGACUACUUGAAGUCGGAAUCGCUAGUAAUGGCGGAUCAGCAUGCCGCCGUGAAUACGUUCCCGGGUCUU